rnacentral:lncRNA from 1 species
UAAGCUUAACACUAAGGAGUCGUUUAGUUGGUGGUUAGAGUUAUGCAAGUAUUAAUAACAUAGGAAUUAGUUACGCGGGUAUUAGUAAUGCAAAGAUCAGUUAUGCAUGGUCGUACAGUCGUUAGCAAAAGAGCUAGCCGCAUUUAUGGAAAUUAAGGAGAAGGCAAAUAGAAUAGAACAAAGUUAGGGGGCGAUAGCGGCCAUGGAUCGAUUCUAGGUGGUUCACUUGUAUACCCCUAUUCUCUGAGUUCACGUUCUGAUCUAGCACAGUGUUAAAUUAUUCAAGUAUUAGCAAUACAUAAAUUCCUUUGUAACUUAAUGUUACAACGAAACACUCAACCAACAAACCACUGUAUUAUUUUUAUACGGGGUAAUUUUAUGCUGGGAUUAAUUAUGUCGUAGAAUCAACCAUACA